UGCGGUUAUACAAAAAUUAAAUUAAUUUCUUUUAGGUUUUAAUAAAUAAUAAUUUAUUUAAUAAUUUAAAUUUUAAGUUAAAAAGUGAAAUUUUAAUUUAAUUAAAAUUUAUUUAUUUUUAUGACAUUAAUAAAUUUUAUAAAAAACUAGGAUUAGAUACCCUAUUAUAAAAAUUUAAAUUUAAUAAUCUUAAAAUAGUAUAUAAUUUUUAUAGAAACUUAAAUAAUUUGGCGGUAUUUUAGUUCAUUUAGAGGAAUCUGUCUAAUAAUUGAUAAUCCACGAUUAAAUUUACUUAAUUUUUAAUUUUGUAUAUCGUUGUUAAAAAAAUAUUUUUUAUGAAAAAUAAUAUUUUAAAAUUUUAAUAAAAAAUUAAAUCAGAUCAAGAUGCAGAUUAUAAUUAAGAAUAUGAUGGAUUACAAUAAAUUUUAUUUUUGGAUAUUAAUUUGAAAUAAAUUAAUUGAAAUUGGAUUUAAAUGUAAUUUUAUUAAUUUUGUUAAAAUGAUUUUAAAUUAAAAUAUGUACAUAUUGCCCGUCGCUUUCAUUUAUAAAUUGAAAUAAGUCGUAACAAAGUAGAGGUACUGGAAAGUGUUUCUAGAAAGAU
rnacentral:rRNA from 1 species